rnacentral:tRNA from 1 species
AUCUAAUUAGUUUAAAAAAAAAUUUAAAUUUGUGGAAUUUAAGAUGAUAAGAAAGUUAUUAGAUA